rnacentral:rRNA from 1 species
UACGAAGGGGGCGGGCGUGUUCGGAAUUACUGGGCGUAAAGGGCGCGCAGGCGGCCUUAGAAGUCAGAUGUGAAAGCCCCGGGCUCAACCUGGGAAUGGCAUUUGAUACUCUGAGGCUGGAGUACGGGAGAGGAGAGUGGAAUUCCCAGUGUAGAGGUGAAAUUCGUAGAUAUUGGGAAGAACACCGGUGGCGAAGGCGGCUCUCUGGACCGUAACUGACGCUGAGGCGCGAAAGCGUGGGGGAGCAAACAGG